UGCCUACGGGAGGCUGCAGCAGGGAAUUUUGCACAAUGGACGGAAGUCUGAUGCAGCGACGCCGCGUGGGUGAAGAAGGCCUUCGGGUCGUAAAACCCUUUUCUGGGGGAAGAGGAAGGACGGUACUCCAGGAAUAAGUGUCGGCUAACUACGUGCCAGCAGCCGCGGUAAUACGUAGGACACGAGCGUUAUCCGGAUUUACUGGGCGUAAAGCGCCUGUAGGCGGUCUUGUAAGUCGGAUGUGAAAGCCCCAGGCUUAACCUGGGGAGGCCAUUCGAUACUGCGGGACUUGAGGAUGGCAGAGGGGAGUGGAAUUCCCGGUGUAGCGGUAAAAUGCGCAGAUAUCGGGAGGAACACCAGUGGCGAAGGCGGCUCCCUAGGCCACCCCUGACGCUGAGAGGCGAAAGCUAGGGGAGCGAACAGGAUUAGAUACCCCAGUAGUC
rnacentral:rRNA from 1 species